rnacentral:misc_RNA from 1 species
UCCCGGUUGUCCCGGGCAGUCUCAUUUGAACAUUCAACAAAUGAUAGGGGUUGCGCUCGUUGCGGGACUUAACCCAACAUCUCACGACACGAGCUGACGACGGCCAUGCAGCACCUGUUACUGGAUUCCCGAAGGCACUCCCUGCUUUCGCAGGGAUUCCCAGAAUGUCAAGCCUUGGUAAGGUUCAUCGCUUAGCCUCGAAUUAAACCACAUCCUCCUCUGCUUGUGCGGCUCCCCGUCAAUUCCUUUGAGUUUUAAGCUUGCGCUCGUAGUCCCCAGGCGGGUCACUUAACGCGUUAGCUUUGCUGCACAGAGGGUCGAAACUCCAUACAACUAGUGACCAUCGUUUACGGCGUGGACUAC